CCCUCUGAAAAUAUUGGCUACUUUACGAUUUAUGUAUUUUGGGGUAGAAAAGUGUUUCGAUGUACUAUAUUGUUUUGGUAAUAUAAGUGGAAAAACGCCGAAAAAACUUUUCAGACCGAUCAGUGAAACAUUGUUUCAGCGGAAACAUUUGUACUACGAUGAGAACAUGAGAACGUGUUAUGUAUGUAUAAAACACCGGCAAUAUGAUUGAAAAUAAAAAAUCUCGAAAUAAGGGAAUAAUGUAUAUUAAAAAUUUAAAAAAAAAAUUAACUUUCAAGCGUGUUAGACAAUGACAUUGAUACACUGAGUAAAAUUUUUGGGAUAUUGCAAUUGGAACAAGUUUUCGAGUUAACUGAAUGCAAAGGAGCGAAUGACAAAUUUCAAGAAAUGGCAAACUCCAUAUGUCAGUAUAAGAGCAUAAUAUUUUUUUGGGAAUAAAAUGAUCUAUUUUACUACAGAGUACCCAACAAAAAUUCUAGAAUGGUUUUUUUUUUAUUUUUUUAUUUUUAUUUUACAAAACUAUUAAUUGAAUUCUAUA